rnacentral:rRNA from 2 species
GGGACGAGAAGACCCUGUGAAUCUUAAAAUUUUAAGAGAUGAAAUGUGAUGUAUAAAAUGGUUUAAAAUUUUUAAUUGGGGUGAUUGAAAAAUAUUAGAAAACUUUAAUUAGAGCCCUUUAAGGGACUGAAUGAAUAAGGUACUCCAGGGAUAACAGCGUUAUUAUUUCGAAUAGAUCAUAUUGAUGAAAUAGAUUGCGACCUCGAUGUUG